UCAAUGAUCACCUUAAAUAUAAAUGGCUUAAAUGCUCCAACCAAAAGACAUACAGUAGCUGAAUGAAUAAGAAAAGAAGACUUAUAUAUAUGCUGCCUCCAAGAAACCCAUCUGAGAUUGAAAGAUGCACACAGACUAAAAGGAAAGGGAUGGGAAAAGAUAUUUCAUGCAAAUGGAAAAAAAAAGGCUGGGGUAGCAGUACUUAUAUUGAAGAAAAUAGACUU